UACGGAGGGAGCUAGCGUUGUUCGGAUAUACUGGGCGUAAAGCGCACGUAGGCGGCAUUGCAAGUCGGAUGUGAAAUCCCUCGGCUUAACCGGGGAACUGCGUCUGAUACUGGAUGGCUUGAGGUUGGGAGAGGGAUGCGGAAUUCCAGGUGUAGCGGUGAAAUGCGUAGAUAUCUGGAGGAACACCGGUGGCGAAGGCGGCAUCCUGGACCAAUUCUGACGCUGAGUGAGCGAAAGCCAGGGGGAGCAAAACGGGG
rnacentral:rRNA from 1 species